rnacentral:rRNA from 1 species
AUUGAACGCUGGCGGCAGGCCUAACACAUGCAAGUCGAACGGUAACAGGAAGCAGCUUGCUGCUUCGCUGACGAGUGGCGGCCGGGUGAGUAAUGUCUGGGAAGCUGCCUGAUGGAGGGGGAUAACUACUGGAAACGGUAGCUAAUACCGCAUAAUGUCGCAAGACCAAAGAGGGGGACCUUCUGGCCUCUUGCCAUCGGAUGUGCCCAGAUGGGAUUAGCUUGUUGGUGGGGUAACGGCUCACCAAGGCGACGAUCCCUAGCUGGUCUGAGAGGAUGACCAGCCACACUGGAACUGAGACACGGUCCAGACUCCUACGGGAGGCAGCAGUGGGGAAUAUUGCACAAUGGGCGCAAGCCUGAUGCAGCCAUGCCGCGUGUAUGAAGAAGGCCUUCGGGUUGUAAAGUACUUUCAGCGGGGAGGAAGGGAGUAAAGUUAAUACCUUUGCUCAUUGACGUUACCCGCAGAAGAAGCACCGGCUAACUCCGUG